rnacentral:rRNA from 1 species
UACGAGGGGGCAAGCGUUGUUCGGAAUUAUUGGGCGUAAAGGGCGCGUAGGCGGUUUGACAAGUCUGAUGUGAAAUCUAUGGGCUCAACCCAUAGCCUGCAUUAGAAACUGUCGGGCUUGAGUAUGGGAGAGGUGAGUGGAAUUUCCGGUGUAGCGGUGAAAUGCGUAGAUAUCGGAAGGAACACCUGUGGCGAAAGCGGCUCACUGGACCAUAACUGACGCUGAGGCGCGAAAGCUAAGGGGAGCAAACAGGG